AUACGGAGGGGGCAAGCGUUGUUCGGAAUUACUGGGCGUAAAGAGUACGUAGGCGGAUCGUUAAGUUAGAGGUGAAAUCCCAGGGCUCAACCCUGGAACUGCCUUUAAUACUGGCGAUCUAGAGGUCGAGAGAGGUGAGUGGAAUUUCCAGUGUAGAGGUGAAAUUCGUAGAUAUUGGAAAGAACACCAGUGGCGAAGGCGGCUCACUGGCUCGAUACUGACGCUGAGGUACGAAAGCGUGGGGAGCAAACAGGAUUAGAAACCCCUGUAGUCC
rnacentral:rRNA from 1 species